rnacentral:lncRNA from 1 species
AGACCAACCAGAACAGCUGCCAACAUGAAGCUUCUGGUGUGUGCCCUCGUACUGGUGCUGGUGUGCAGUGAGACUGUGCAUUCCCUCAAGUGUUUCACUUGUGUGAACGGGAACUGUAAGACUGCUACAGAAUGCCCAGAAUCAAGCAACUUCUGCAAAACCGUGGUGGGAUACGACUCCCUCAGUCGGACCUGUGAGGAGUUUUGUGUGCCUGGAGUUAAUAUCUACUGCUGCCAGGAGGAUCUGUGUGGCUGAGACCCAGCUAACCUCUGCAAUUCUGCUGAAUCAUGAGCUUAAUCAAAGAGUUAUAAUAAUAAUAACCAUAUAAAAAUGACCAUAAUCCUCCUAAUUAACUGUAUCCAAUGAUUCUUAAUUCUUAAAUAAAAGCCUGCAGCAUC